AGAACAGCAGUCGCCGCGGUAAGACAGAGGAUGCAAGCGUUAUCCGGAAUGAUUGGGCGUAAAGCGCGCGUAGGUGGUUUGUUAAGUUGGAUGUGAAAUCCCCGGGCUCAACCUGGGAACUGCAUCCAAAACUGGCAAGCUAGAGUAUGGUAGAGGGUGGUGGAAUUUCCUGUGUAGCGGUGAAAUGCGUAGAUAUAGGAAGGAACACCAGUGGCGAAGGCGACCACCUGGACUGAUACUGACACUGAGGUGCGAAAGCGUGGGGAGCAAACAGGAUUAGAUACCCCUGUAGUCCCUGUCUCUUAUAC
rnacentral:rRNA from 1 species